rnacentral:rRNA from 1 species
GACGAACGCUGGCGGCGUGCUUAACACAUGCAAGUCGAACGGAAAGGCCCUGCUUUUGUGGGGUGCUCGAGUGGCGAACGGGUGAGUAACACGUGAGUAACCUGCCCUUGACUUUGGGAUAACUUCAGGAAACUGGGGCUAAUACCGGAUAGGAGCUCCUGCUGCAUGGUGGGGGUUGGAAAGUUUCGGCGGUUGGGGAUGGACUCGCGGCUUAUCAGCUUGUUGGUGGGGUAGUGGCUUACCAAGGCUUUGACGGGUAGCCGGCCUGAGAGGGUGACCGGCCACAUUGGGACUGAGAUACGGCCCAGACUCCUACGGGAGGCAGCAGUGGGGAAUAUUGCACAAUGGGCGGAAGCCUGAUGCAGCAACGCCGCGUGCGGGAUGACGGCCUUCGGGUUGUAAACCGCUUUCGCCUGUGACGAAGCGUGAGUGACGGUAAUGGGUAAAGAAGCACCGGCUAACUACGUGCCAGCAGCCGCGGUGAUACGUAGGGUGCGAGCGUUGUCCGGAUUUAUUGGGCGUAAAGGGCUCGUAGGUGGUUGAUCGCGUCGGAAGUGUAAUCUUAGGGCUUAACCCUGAGCGUGCUUUCGAUACGGGUUGACUUGAGGAAGGUAGGGGAGAAUGGAAUUCCUGGUGGAGCGGUGGAAUGCGCAGAUAUCAGGAGGAACACCAGUGGCGAAGGCGGUUCUCUGGGCCUUUCCUGACGCUGAGGAGCGAAAGCGUGGGGAGCGAACAGGCUUAGAUACCCUGGUAGUCCACGCUGUAAACGGUGGGUACUAGGUGUGGGGUCCACUCCACGGGUUCCGUGCCGUAGCUAACGCUUUAAGUACCCCGCCUGGGGAGUACGGCCGCAAGGCUAAAACUCAAAGGAAUUGACGGGGCCCCGCACAAGCGGCGGAGCAUGCGGAUUAAUUCGAUGCAACGCGUAGAACCUUACCUGGGUUUGACAUGGAUCGGGAGUGCUCAGAGAUGGGUGUGCCUCUUUUGGGGUCGGUUCACAGGUGGUGCAUGGCUGUCGUCAGCUCGUGUCGUGAGAUGUUGGGUUAAGUCCCGCAACGAGCGCAACCCUUGUUCACUGUUGCCAGCACGUUAUGGUGGGGACUCAGUGGAGACCGCCGGGGUCAACUCGGAGGAAGGUGGGGAUGACGUCAAGUCAUCAUGCCCCUUAUGUCCAGGGCUUCACGCAUGCUACAAUGGCUGGUACAGAGAGUGGCGAGCCUGUGAGGGUGAGCGAAUCUCGGAAAGCCGGUCUCAGUUCGGAUUGGGGUCUGCAACUCGACCUCAUGAAGUCGGAGUCGCUAGUAAUCGCAGAUCAGCAACGCUGCGGUGAAUACGUUCCCGGGGCU